AGCCGGGUCUUAUGCAAUGGGACUUUGCGAAACGUGUCAGGUCGGGAACGAAGCAGCACUAAGCAUUUCAUCUCAUGUGUUGUAAGGUGCCUUGUUAUU
rfam:Butyrivibrio fibrisolvens DSM 3071 genome assembly, contig: EJ22DRAFT_scaffold00023.23